CGCAUACUUAUAGGAAGCAGCCAGUAAAUAUACAUUCAUCCCUGUUGCCUGAAAACAAUUGGUUUUUAUGCCUAAAGAGGAGGAAAUCCUUCCCUUAACUCCAAUGGAUCAAAGAAGUCUUCUUGGAAGAGGAGCAUUUUCUCACUGCUCAGAGGAAAGAAAGACAGGGACUUUGUUUGAACUAAUCUGGAAAAAAUGAUGACGCUUCACUCAGUUAUUUUAAAAUCUGGCCACGAGGAUAUUUUUGAAACCUCGUCAUAAGAAUAUCAUUUGUCCUAUGACACAGUUGCUGUUUAUCCGAUUAUCUAAGUUAAUGAUAAUAAGAUAUACACAAAUUAAUGUUACUCCUUGGACUCAAAAUUUGAGCCUGAAAUGAAGCGAGU
rnacentral:lncRNA from 1 species